UACCUUAUAUGUAAUCACAGCAGUCAGGCGGCGAGUGAUAAAAUCCGUCGUCAAGAGGGAAACAACCCAGACUACCAGCUAAGGUCCCUAAAUCUUACUUAAGUGGAAAACGAUGUGAAGUUACUUAAACAACCAGGAGGUUGGCUUAGAAGCAGCCAUCCUUUAAAGAAAGCGUAAUAGCUCACUGGUCUAGUGAUUUUGCGCGGAAAAUAUAACGGGGCUAAAGUAAGUACCGAAGCUGUAGACUUAGUUUACUAAGUGGUAGGAGAGCGUUCUAUUUGCGUCGAAGGUAUACCGGUAAGGAGUGCUGGAGCGAAUAGAAGUGAGCAUGCAGGCAUGAGUAGCGAUAAUUAAUGUGAGAAUCAUUAACGCCGUAAACCCAAGGUUUCCUACGCGAUGCUCGUCAUCGUAGGGUUAGUCGGGUCCUAAGUCGAGUCCGAAAGGGGUAGACGAUGGCAAAUUGGUUAAUAUUCCAAUACCAACAUUAGUGUGCGAUGGAAGGACGCUUAGGGCUAAGGGGGCUAGCGGAUGGAAGUGCUAGUCUAAGGUCGUAGGAGGUUAUAUAGGCAAAUCCGUAUAACAAUACUCCGAGAACUGAAAGGCUUUUUGAAGUCUUCGGAUGGAUAGAAGAACCCCUGAUGCCGUCGAGCCAAGAAAAGUUUCUAAGUUUAGCUAAUGUUGCCCGUACCGUAAACCGACACAGGUGGGUGGGAUGAGUAUUCUAAGGCGCGUGGAAGAACUCUCUUUAAGGAACUCUGCAAAAUAGCACCGUAUCUUCGGUAUAAGGUGUGGUUAGCUUUGUAUUAGGAUUUACUCCGAAAGCAAGGAAACUUACAACAAAGAGUCCCUCCCGACUGUUUACCAAAAACACAGCACUCUGCUAACUCGUAAGAGGAUGUAUAGGGUGUGACGCCUGCCCGGUGCUCGAAGGUUAAUUGAUGGGGUUAGCAUUAGCGAAGCUCUUGAUCGAAGCCCGAGUAAACGGCGGCCGUAACUAUAACGGUCCUAAGGUAGCGAAAUUCCUUGUCGGUUAAAUACCGACCUGCAUGAAUGGCGUAACGAGAUGGGAGCUGUCUCAAAGAGGGAUCCAGUGAAAUUGUAGUGGAGGUGAAAAUUCCUCCUACCCGCGGCAAGACGGAAAGACCCCGUGGACCUUUACUACAGCUUGACACUGCUACUUGGAUAAGAAUGUGCAGGAUAGGUGGGAGGCUUUGAGUAUAUGACGCCAGUUGUAUAUGAGCCAUUGUUGAGAUACCACUCUUUCUUAUUUGGGUAGCUAACCAGCUUGAGUUAUCCUCAAGUGGGACAAUGUCUGGUGGGUAGUUUGACUGGGGCGGUCGCCUCCCAAAUAAUAACGGAGGCUUACAAAGGUUGGCUCAGAACGGUUGGAAAUCGUUCGUAGAGUAUAAAGGUAUAAGCCAGCUUAACUGCAAGACAUACAAGUCAAGCAGAGACGAAAGUCGGUCUUAGUGAUCCGGUGGUUCUGUGUGGAAGGGCCAUCGCUCAAAGGAUAAAAGGUACCCCGGGGAUAACAGGCUGAUCUCCCCCAAGAGCUCACAUCGACGGGGAGGUUUGGCACCUCGAUGUCGGCUCAUCGCAUCCUGGGGCUGGAGCAGGUCCCAAGGGUAUGGCUGUUCGCCAUUUAAAGCGGUACGCGAGCUGGGUUCAGAACGUCGUGAGACAGUUCGGUCCCUAUCUGCCGUGGGCGUAAGAAGAUUGAAGAGAUUUGACCCUAGUACGAGAGGACCGGGUUGAACAAACCACUGGUGUAGCUGUUGUUCUGCCAAGAGCAUCGCAGCGUAGCUAAGUUUGGAAAGGAUAAACGCUGAAAGCAUCUAAGCGUGAAGCCAACUCUAAGAUGAAUCUUCUCUAAGCUCUCUAGAAGACUACUAGUUUGAUAGGCUGGGUGUGUAAUGGAUGAAAGUCCUUUAGCUGACCAGUACUAAUAGAGCGUUUGGCUUAUCUUU
rnacentral:rRNA from 1 species